UACGUAGGGUGCAAGCGUUAAUCGGAAUUACUGGGCGUAAAGUGUGCGCAGGCGGUCGUGCAAGUCGCGUGUGAAAGCCCCCGGCUCAACUGGGGAGGGUCACGCGAUACUGCUCGACUCGAAGGCAGGAGAGGGAAGUGGAAUUCCCGGUGUAGUGGUGAAAUGCGUAGAUAUCGGGAGGAACACCAGAGGCGAAAGCGACUCACUGGACAGAUUCUGACGCUGAGGCACGAAAGCUAGGGGAGCAAACGGGAGUUAG
rnacentral:rRNA from 1 species